UGCUUGGGGAUGUGGGGAUGUUACUCAGUAGUCAAGGACUCCUGGGUUCAAUCCCUGGUACAAAAAAAAAAAAAAAAACCCCACAAAAAGUAGGUGCUUGGCAAAGGAGACAAUAGGAAUGUAAAGAGAGAAUCUAUAAAACGGGAGAUUAUCUUUGCUAGCUACUCCUCCGACAGAGCAUUAAUAUCUAGAACAUGUAAAGAACUCACAAAAUUUACACUCCAAAAAUCUGAUCCAAUUAAUAAAUUGGAAAAUGAAUUAAAUAGACACUUCUCUAAAGAAGAAAUACAAUGGCCAACAAAUAUAUGAAAAAAUGUUCAACAUCAUUAGCAAUUAGGGAAAUGCAAAUCAAAAUUACACUGAGAUGUCAUCUCACAUCAGUGAGAAUAACAGUCAUCAAGAAUACAAACAAUAAUAAACGCUGGAGAGCAUGUGGGUAAAAAGGAACGCUUUUACACUAUUGGUGGGAUUAUACAUUAGUAUAACCAUUAAGGAAAUCAGUAUGGAAGUUCCUCUAAAGGCCAGGCACGGAACCACCCUGUGACCUACCUGUACCACUCCUCAGUAUUUAUCCUAAAGAAUCAAAGUCACGUUACUGCAGGGAUACACACAUCCCCAUGUUUACAGCAGCACCCAUCACAAAAGCUAAACGACGGAACCAGCCCAGGGGUCCAUCAAUGGAUGAAUGGAUAAAGGAAAUGUAUGUAUACACAAUGGAGUUUUAUUCAGACAAAAAGAAAAAUGAAAUUAUGUCAAUUGCGGGAAAAUGGAUGGAACUUGAGACCUUUAUGUUAGAAAUGAGCCAAACUCAGAAGGUCAAGGGUCAUGUUUUCUCUAUGUGGAAACUGGAGAGGACAAAGGAAAGGAAAGCUGUAGAUGGACACUGAGUUUGCUCCCAUAUCCUGCUUUCGUGACCAGAGCUGCCAGGUUUGCUGGAACCUCUAUGAUGUUUUCCAUGGUGGCUGGACCACUCUUUGCUUUGAAAUGAACGAGUACAGACCUACUGGAACUUUUAAAAUGUCAACCUGCUUUUUUUCUUUUAAAUACCACUAAUAUUUAAAAUAUUAAUGCAUAUUCAUAAUUUUCAAAACAGGAUUUAAAGAGAGCUAUAGGCCAAGGUUUUCCAAUUAUCUAUGCACAGAAUAGAUUUACAAAGCUGUACAAUUACAAAUGAUUUUCCCUUUUUAUUUCAAACUCACGGGAAAUCCCACUACCUAGACUUAAUAACCCCACACAUUUUGAAAUAGAUGAGAUGAACACAAAGAAUCCAGAACUAACACACUCUGUGCUUUAGGGACUUUGGUUCCCAUUUUGGCUGCAUUGUUGGGGACAGCAGGCAUGGAGUUCUGCCAGGGGCCCAGGGGCCUGGCUGCAGGACUGUGACAUCACACCGCUAGGAUCCUUGGAACCACAGGACAAAGGGUCAUGUGAGGGGAAAGUGAGCUCGCCUCAUGUCCCUGCGGUGGGUUCAAAGGUCUUGUUUUGUUCAAACAUAAUCAAGGUCUACGACCUGGCUUCAGGUAAACAUGAAUAGGAAGGAUUUUUGGACAACCUUGAGGAAAGAAAUCUCCCUAAAGUUAAGAGGGCUGGAUGAACUAUUCCCAUCUCAUAGGAAGUGGUUGGCAUUGGGUGCCACGUGGGAAGGGCAGUGGCUUGCCGUUCUACACACUGCCCUCUCCAAAGGCCACUUCCCUGCUCCCAAUCACUCCUGCAUCUCUUGCCGGAGGCUGCUAGCCUCUUUGGCCUCUCUGGCAGCUGGGGAAGAACGGUGUCUCCUGACAGGAACAGGUCCUUCUUGAGCUUGGGGACUUGGCUACUGCACUAUCUCCAAUAACAUCUGUCCUAUAACGUCUGUCCUGGGUGUGAAGAAAGCUCAGCUGGUAUUUUGUACUAUUGUGUUUCGCUAAGUAUGUGGAUAGUGUCUUUGAGUCCUUGCAAAGACCAAUUAUGAAGUCUCUGUCAAUAAGUAACAGUCGGCUGUCCUGUCAGCCUGAAUAUUAGUCUGGGGUGGCAUAGAUCACUGCUCCCACGCCCUGUCUGUGGCCUUCCACGCAGCCAUAAGGUUUGCGUAUACAAGGCCACAUACACCUGUUCGUUACUAAGAAUUCCACCCUCCACCCCUCAACAUGACCUUGCCAGCCAGAUCUCCUUCCACCAUGUUCUCACUGUGGAAUGUCUUAUCUUGAGGGCUUUCCCCCUCCCCCAAAAGGUGAAUGCCAGAACUCUUGAGCUCUAAAACUAGAGUAUCGCCUCCCAAAUGCCUUGUGGCAAGCCAGAGGCAAUGCUGUGUCUUAAGUAUUAAUCUGUGUUUUCUGUGUUCCUUUGCUUUCCUCUGGGAACUUUUCCUGGAAUUUGAAUCCCAUUUCCUCCAGAACCAGCCAUGCUAGAGCAGAAGCUGACUCAGACAGGCAGCUGGCUUAAGUGGUUGCUCAGGAUCAGCAUCCAAAACCACUUUCUCUACCAGAUGGAACCAGCCUGGGAGAAGAGGAGAAGUACAGGGGACCUGAGCUCAGAGCAAGGCAGGGAGAGACUAGCGACUUUAAAGUGGAAGGGGGCACAACAAACUAAGGAGGAAGAGUCAGGGAUAAGAGGGGACCGUGCUCAGGCUGGCUGAAUACCCUGCACUGUCACACAUCCCACAAGGGAGGUGGCAAUACUGACACUAGGGCAUGCUAUGAAGUCAGGACAGGGAAACUGGGUCCCCAGCCAAGGGGGAGCUGGGCUGGAAAGAGGAGCACCUUGGGACAAAGGUUGGGAGCCAGAGGACAUCUCUGGAUGGCCGUGGAGGGCAGUCAGGUCCUGUGCCCCAGGGCAUGCAGUGGAUGGGUACCAGUGCAGACUCAGCAGAACCCAACACGGCUGGAUUCUGAUGCAGGAAGGAACAUGAAGCGCCAUUACCCAGCAUGGCUCCCACCUGAGUGGCCACAGAUGCCUCUGUUGUAUCCCCCCACCUCCCCCAGGCUCCGCGGCCCUAGAUCAACCCUGGAGGAUCAGAAACAGCCACCAGUAAGAGGGGCGAAGUAGGGAGAGGAAAGAAAACAAAGGUGGUGGAGAGGAGGGCGGGAGCUCUGAUUAGACGCCCCACCAGCCCCCACCAGUCGUACCUCCUGGACACUCUCCAGACACUCUACAGUGAUGGCUAGAAGGAAGGUCUCAAUCGUCUGAGUAUAAAAAUGAAAAGGUUUUCUGCUUUCCUGCUGGGUAGCAAGAUCCCCUAGAGAUAACUCAGUUCAAAAUCCAGUUUGUGAAAAUUUGAUUGUCAAGGAUUUAGAGCAGGAGUAAACACAGGUGUUACUGGCUUCUUAUCUGAGAGUUGCAAGAGGACAGGCUUGGAAUUCCAGCCAAGGGUGGGGAAAGAAUGAAUCCAGAGUUUGAGUUUAAACAGAAACCCUCUGGUCUGGAAAUGUGCCUCAGUGGUAGAGUGCUUGCCUAGCAUGUGGCAUGCUGGGGGCCCUGGAUUUGAUACCCAGAAACCGCCCCUGUAAAGUUCUUGCUUAGCAUCUGGAUGGCCAUCUUAAGUGACAGCUGCCAUUUUAAGGAAAAAGUUUUGCUUUUCUAUCCAAGGGCAUUUCUUUUUUUUUUUUUUUUUAAUUUUUUUAAUUUAUUUUUUUUAGUCAUACAUGACAGUAGAAUGCAUUUUGAUAUAUAAUACAUACAUGGAAUGUACAUACAUCAAUCAUAUUGUCUAUUCUAUUCUACUGCAAGGGCAUUUCUGAGAAAGGCUCACCACUCCCUCAUACCAACCCAACCCCUAACUACCUUCAUUAGGACCCACAAGGCUCUUAUUCCUGAGCCUGCCCCAUAAAAGUCUGGGAACCCAAGCCUGUUUUGCCUCUCUCAGAUUUAGAGAGAUGGCCUUUAUUUGUCAACUCUGACAAAUAAACUCUCUUGUGAACCUCUGCCUGGUCUCCAUCUUUCAUUUCUCAUUUACCCGACUCUCGUUCUUCGAUUUCCCUUCAGCAUCACCCCCUAGCAAUAAAUAAAAAUAAACAAAGAAAUAAAACACCUUACUGUGAUUAGUUGGUUCAAUAAACUGGUUAAUAACUAAUU